rnacentral:lncRNA from 1 species
UUUUCUUAGGUUUUGGACAUUCUUCAUAAUGCACAUGAUAUUUUUAGUCAUUUUCUCAAAUGAAAGUUGCUUCAGCCAUGUGAUUCCAUACCAUUAAGAUUCCAUAACAGAAAACACAUGCUUUGUGUGCUUACUAGUGAUAUGCAAAUGCAAAAGCAAAAGAAAAAGGUAGCAAUGAAAAACAAUCACAAUACUAGAACAUAAGCUCGUACAUACAGUUCGGUUUGUACACGCAACAGCUCAGUAACUAGCUAAUUCAUCUCAUGCAGCGUGGCCCUCCAUGGCUGCUAUGAAAGACCAGAUAAUCCGCAAGGUUUUACCAUGCAACAAUAGAAAACCAUAUUGCCAACAUCUGGCUUGUCGCACCACACCUGCAAGCAUUGCUGCCCCCAACCUAGUUGGGGAGUGUCAAGGACGUCAAUGCCGAAGACGGCAGGACCUCAGCUCCUUAACUCGUAGCCUCGGCUGGUAGAGGCGGCGGGGGUUUUGCCCGUCUGCCCAAUGGUGAAAUUAGGGAAGGGAGAAGGAAGAUAGGAGAUGGGUAAAUUCUUUGUUGAUCCUUCAAGCUCCUGAUUACAUCUAUUAUAUAGGCAUAUAGCCUUAUCUCUAUCUCUAAGAAAUCAAAUCCCUGAUUCUAGUCUUUCCAUAUAACUAACCAAAUCUUUAUCCUACACUUUCCUAACUGCCUGGAGGAUCUGGCGCCUGUGUGCGGGACCGGCGCUGGUAAUGCCGUCCCCACAUAACAUCUCUCUCCCCCCCCCCUCGACAAGCAGCUCGUCCUCGAGCUGGAAGAGC